rnacentral:rRNA from 1 species
CCUUCCGGGGCAUGUGCUCACCUUGUUUUCAAUCCAAUUCACACCUGUGCACACUUUGUAGUGUCUUGAGGGGGGUUGUCUUUUGGGAUGGAACCUCUCUAGCUCUACGUAUUUUUCACACAUACACUUAUAAAGUUUAGAAUGUUAAUACUUGUGAUAUAAUACACAUCUAUAACAACUUUCAACAACGGAUCUCUUGGCUCUCGCAUCGAUGAAGAACGCAGCGAAAUGCGAUAAGUAAUGUGAAUUACAGAAUUCAGUGAAUCAUCGAAUCUUUGAACGCACCUUGCGCUCCUUGGUAUUCCGAGGAGCAUGCCUGUUUGAGUGUCAUGAAUCUCUCAAACUAUACAUGGUUUUUGUUAAUCAUUGUAUUAGUUUGGACUUGGAGGUCUGCUGGCGCAAGUCAGCUCCUCUUAAAUGUAUUAGCUUGGAUUCUUGUAUGUGGAUCCUUGGUGUGAUAAUUAUCUACGCCAUGAUGUCCCUUCAAAUUAUAAUCCUGCUUCUAAUCGUCUGUGAAAAGACAAAUGUGUUCAUCACUUGACAUCUGACCUCAAAUCAGGUAGGACUACCCGCUGAACUUAAGCAUAUCAAUAAGCGGAGGA